rnacentral:rRNA from 1 species
CGGUGGAUGCCCUGGCAGUCAGAGGCGAUGAAGGACGUGCUAAUCUGCGAUAAGCGUCGGUAAGGUGAUAUGAACCGUUAUAACCGGCGAUUUCCGAAUGGGGAAACCCAGUGUGAUUCGUCACACUAUCAUUAACUGAAUCCAUAGGUUAAUGAGGCGAACCGGGGGAACUGAAACAUCUAAGUACCCCGAGGAAAAGAAAUCAACCGAGAUUCCCCCAGUAGCGGCGAGCGAAC